rnacentral:lncRNA from 1 species
CUGCUGCUGCUGCUGCUGCUGCUGGCUGCUGGUGCUCGCUCGCUCGCUCGCCGCCGAACUCGGCGCCCGCCCGACGAUUCCUGGACGGGAUGGAUGUGCCGCUGCUCUGAGAUGCUGCUGGUCUCGUGGUAGUCGCGACGAAAUACCUCACCAUAUUUCGCCUCCUUCCUCGGAAGUGUGGCCUUCGGCCUACGCAGAGCGACUUCGUAUGGAUUGGUAAACACACGUAGCGGAGGGAAGAAAAAUAUGAAAUGCCACAGUCGUGUUCGGUCAAUCCAAUCUUGGACAGUCGAAAAAAUGCCGGAUUCUUCACGCUCGAUUCGCUUUUGCUCCUCGGCGACGACGGCGGAUGAUUCCGCGCGGUGGUACAUUCCGCGCUUAUUUUAGGAGGCCGUCGAUCUUGGCUGUCUCUCUGGGAGCCUUCAAUUUCCGCGAGCGACACGCGUUGCUCGUUCUCCAUCGUCGCGUGUGGGUGGCACACCACACGUGAACGUAGCCGCCGCUUAACGUAAUUGCCUCCGUCGUCGCUAAAGUUAAAUGGGAAAGGUAACAGCGGCGAAAGGUCUCGAGGCCUCGAGGCGGAAACUGCAUCAAGGAUCACGCCAGAGAAGAUAUAGCUCACCAAAUGCUACACCGAUUGAUGUAUCUCGUAUUUAGAGAUAUGUCCGCCCUUCCGCAAAUCCACCUCCUUAUCCGAUCGUCAGACGAACCUGGAAUAUAUACCUCGCGGAAAAUAACGUUAUUUAAUUACGUUAAUUAAAUGGCAUCUCUCUCCCGCGGGGGUGAUCUUAUUCGCUUUGCUUCUUUGCGGAAGAUGUUGCGUACUUCUUUACAUUCGCAGUCACGAAGCUAUUAUAAUUGUCCAGAUGCAGAACAUUAGGAGUUGCUUUUAUGCUAAAAAUUCACCAAUUAUUAAUUUUUGUGGAAAACUCGAUUGUAUACUUUUUAUUAAAAGCAAACUCGUGUUCAAACUGAAAAGAUUCACUGACCUGUUAUCAUCAAGAUCAAACUGAAAGAUGCAUAUAAAUAAGAUUGCAACAAGGCGCUGAAUACUACCUGACCUUAUCUCCAUCCUUAUCUAUUUUUAUUCGAGUCUGAAAAUAUCUGUACAAGAUGAUAAAAUUGUGGCUGAAUAAUAUUAAAUAAGCAAAGUAAUUUUAUAUGCAAUCACGAAACUAAUUGUCAGAACACACAAGAUACUGGGAAUUCAUUUUACGCUAUAUGCAUAUGAAAGGCACACUUUGACGGAAAUGCAUCACUGGCAAGUGCAUGCUUUCACUUCUAAUCAAGUUUUUCCUAAAUAAUAGUAUUUGCAGCAUAAAAUAAACUUCCAUAUUCCAGACAAUUAAUUGCGUGACCGUAUUCCGAACCUUUUCCACGCGAAUUCUAUUUUUAAUUUGAAGCUGGAAAAUAUACUGAAAAAUACUCAUUCCGUAUAUAGUCAUACAGAAAUAACCUUCCAAAGAUGACGGUGGUUACAUCUAUUAGACCUACCAUUAAUUAUAAAUGUUGAAUCAUUGUUAUAAAAAUAAACUUGGUUUUCAUUCCUC